rnacentral:rRNA from 1 species
GGUAGUCCACGCCGUAAACGAUGUCGACUUGGAGGUUGUGCCCUUGAGGCGUGGCUUCCGGAGCUAACGCGUUAAGUCGACCGCCUGGGGAGUACGGCCGCAAGGUUAAAACUCAAAUGAAUUGACGGGGGCCCGCACAAGCGGUGGAGCAUGUGGUUUAAUUCGAUGCAACGCGAAGAACCUUACCUACUCUUGACAUCCAGAGAACUUAGCAGAGAUGCUUUGGUGCCUUCGGGAACUCUGAGACAGGUGCUGCAUGGCUGUCGUCAGCUCGUGUUGUGAAAUGUUGGGUUAAGUCCCGCAACGAGCGCAACCCUUAUCCUUUGUUGCCAGCGGUUAGGCCGGGAACUCAAAGGAGACUGCCAGUGAUAAACUGGAGGAAGGUGGGGAUGACGUCAAGUCAUCAUGGCCCUUACGAGUAGGGCUACACACGUGCUACAAUGGCGCAUACAAAGAGAAGCGACCUCGCGAGAGCAAGCGGACCUCAUAAAGUGCGUCGUAGUCCGGAUUGGAGUCUGCAACUCGACUCCAUGAAGUCGGAAUCGCUAGUAAUCGUAGAUCAGAAUGCUACGGUGAAUACGUUCCCGGGCCUUGUACACACCGCCCGUCACACCAUGGGAGUGGGUUGCAAAAGAAGUAGGUAGCUUAACCUUCGGGAGGGCGCUUACCACUUUGUGAUUCAUGACUGGGGUGAAGUCGUAACAAGGUAACCGUAGGGGAACCUGC